CGGGUGCACUGAUCCAGCCGGGCCUUUCCCUCUGUGGAACCCCAUGGCCUUCACUGGCUGUGGUGGGGAAACAGGACUUUUACUUUGAAAAAAUUAGAGUGCUCCAGGCAGGCCUAUGCUCGAAUACAUUAGCAUGGAAUAAUAGAAUAGGACGUGUGGUUCUAUUUUGUUGGUUUCUAGGACCGCCGUAAUGAUUAAUAGGGACAGUCGGGGGCAUCAGUAUUCAAUUGUCAGAGGUGAAAUUCUUGGAUCUAUUGAAGACUAACUACUGCGAAAGCAUUUGCCAAGGAUGUUUUCAUUGAUAAGGAACGAAAGUUAGGGGAUCGAAGACGAUCAGAUACCGUCGUAGUCUUAACUAUAAACUAUGCCGACUAGGGAUCGGACGAUGUUAUUCUUUGGCGCGUUCGGCACCUUUCGAGAAAUCAAAGUGCUUGGGCUCCAGGGGGAGUAUGGUCGCAAGGCUGAAACUUAAAGAAAUUGACGGAAGGGCACCACCAGGGGUGGAACCUGCGGCUUAAUUUGACUCAACACGGGGAAACUCACCAGGUCCAGACACAGUGAGGAUUGACAGAUUGAGAGCUCUUUCUUGAUUCUGUGGGUGGUGGUGCAUGGCCGUUCUUAGUUGGUGGAGUGAUUUGCCUGCUUAAUUGCGAUAACGAACGAGACCUUAACCUGCUAAAUAGCCCGUACUGCUUUGGCAGUUCGCCGGCUUCUUAGAGGGACUAUCGG
rnacentral:rRNA from 1 species